AGGACUAGAAAUAAUGAACAAAUCUGCACUGAGCAUAACCCAUGAUGCAUAGUACUGCAGAACAGUGCUGUACAGUGCUCUUCAGGGCCUCACAGGAGGUGCAGAUGGGUGCCGUUGACAACACAGAGAGAAGAGAGAACCUAAACAAUGAAACAAGUCCCCUGCCCACGUGCUGUCAGACACUGGAGAAAAGAACAAAACCAAAGAAAAGCCACUGAGCAAACACAAUGGCCUUGUCUUCUACCUUUCUUGUGGCACAAUGCAGGACUGGACAGCACU
rnacentral:lncRNA from 1 species